rnacentral:lncRNA from 1 species
CACUAAUUUGCCUGAUGAUUAACUAUUCAAAAUGUUAUGUAUUUCCUUACAGUUACUGUGGCAAACAAUAAAACAUCAGAAGAAAUAGAAAACUGAAUUCAGAUGGGAUUCUAGUUAUAGAAUUUUAGUGCUCGUAAAGACCUAAGGAGGGGGAGGCUGGCCGUGGUGGCUCACACUUGUAAUCCCAGUACUUUGGGAGGCCGAGGCAGGCAGAUCACCUGAGGUCGGGAGUUCGAGACCAGCCUGACCAACAUGGAGAAACCCUGUCUCUACUAAAAAUACAAAAUUAGCCAGGCAUGGUGACCCAUGCCUGUAAUUCCAGCUACUCAGGAGGCAGAGGCAGGAGAAUGGCUUGAACCCAGGAGGUGGAGGUUACGGUGAGCCGAGAUCGAGCCACUGCACUCCAGCCUGGGCAACAAGAACGAAGCUCCAUAUCAAAAAAAAAAAAAGAAAAAAAAAAGACCUAAGGAGGGGGAAAAAUGAAGGAAUCUCUUCAAACUCAGCCUUUACGCAAACACAUGAAAAAUCACAGACUCAUUUGUCUGCAGUCCCAAAUCAGGCAGAAGCCCCUGAGUAAGGCCGCCGCUGCCACCCACUGCCCCUGAAAGGACAUCUGAGCACAGUGAUUCCGGUGGUGCCAGGACUCCAACCAGCAAGGAGCGUUUCGCACAGAGCUGCAGAGAGUCUGUGCCUUCCAACGAGAGCCGUGUCCCGAACGCCAUCCACUUAGCUCUCACUCUCCUCCUUCCUCCUUUCCCUGCCGCUUUCUGUUUUUCAUCAGGGCCUUGGAACUCGCUAGUACAGACCGACUUUCAAGUUAAGUCUUUCAAGGAAAAUGACUCUUGGUUUCCAGCCUGGAUGUGUCAUUACACCCUCAUGCGUCUCAGGGAAAUUAGCAACCUGAUUCUUGCCCUGACUGUCAUUUAAAAUAAAAAGCUUUCUUAUUUGCCAUCUAAGACAAACUCUAGUAAACCCACAGCGGACGGGU